CGUAGUCAACCACCUUUCCUCCGGGAUAACUAGCCGAAAGGUUAGCUAAUACCUGAUGCGAUCUUCGAGCGGCAUCGCUUGAUGAUGAAAGCAGUAAUGCGCGGAUUGAGGGGGCUGCGGCCCAUUAGCUAGUUGGUGAGGUAACGGCCCACCAAGGCUACGAUGGGUAGCUGGUCUGAGAGGACGACCAGCCACACUGGGACUGAGACACGGCCCAG
rnacentral:rRNA from 1 species